GACAGAGGGUGCAAACGUUGCUCGGAAUUACUGGGCGUAAAGCGUGCGCAGGCGGUUUUGUAAGUCUGUCGUGAAAUCCCCGGGCUCAACCUGGGAAUUGCGAUGGAGACUGCAAGGCUAGAAUCUGGCAGAGGGGGGUAGAAUUCCACGUGUAGCAGUGAAAUGCGUAGAGAUGUGGAGGAACACCGAUGGCGAAGGCAGCCCCCUGGGUCAAGAUUGACGCUCAUGCACGAAAGCGUGGGGAGCGGAACAGG
rnacentral:rRNA from 1 species